rnacentral:rRNA from 1 species
UACGGAGGGUGCAAGCGUUGUCCGUAUUUAUUGGGUUUAAAGGGUGCGUAGGCGGUCUUUUAAGUCAGUGGUGAAAUCCUCCAGCUCAACUGGAGAACUGCCAUUGAUACUGGAAGACUUGAGUAUAGUUGAGGUAGGCGGAAUUGACAGUGUAGCGGUGAAAUGCAUAGAUAUUGUCAAGAACACCGAUUGCGAAGGCAGCUUACUAAACUAUAACUGACGCUGAGGCACGAAAGUGCGGGGAUCAAACAGG